CUGACAUUAAGGACAAAUUCCUGCUGCUGCAAAAAAUCAGGUCAAGAUGAGAGGUUUUUAUUGAUUUUUCUCUCCUUAAUCCUUCUCUUCCUCCCUGAAAGUGCACGCAGGCCUUGCUGUGAGUGCCUCUAGGGAGAUGGAAAGGAACAUCUGGUUAUGGCUCCAAGGUUUGCUGUGCAGUAGCGGAUGAUGGCUGAGAUGGCAAAGCAUCUGAGAUGUCAUGUAAUGGAUUUCAAGAAUAGCAUAUGUGAGAUGCACCCAAAAAGCCUGAAGGCUUGUGUUGACAGAUUCGAUGCUCCUGUGUGAGACUCGUGUUCUGUCUCAGCAACACAAGUCUCUCUCAAAAUUCAUCACUGGGAAGGCAAAAGUCAUCUUCAA
rnacentral:lncRNA from 1 species